UACAGAGGGUGCGAGCGUUGUUCGGAUUUACUGGGCGUAAAAGGCGCGCAGGCGGUCUUGAAAGUCAGGCGUGAAAGCCCCGGGCUUAACCUGGGAAUUGCGCUUGAUACUCUGAGACUGGAGUACGGGAGAGGAGAGUGGAAUUCCCAGUGUAGAGGUGAAAUUCGUAGAUAUUGGGAAGAACACCAGUGGCGAAGGCGGCUCUCUGGACCGUAACUGACGCUGAGGCGCGAAAGCGUGGGGAGCAAACAGG
rnacentral:rRNA from 1 species